GACGAACGCUGGCGGCGUGCUUAACACAUGCAAGUCGAACGGAAAGGCCCUGCUUUUGUGGGGUGCUCGAGUGGCGAACGGGUGAGUAACACGGGAGUAACCUGCCCUUGACUUUGGGAUAACUUCAGGAAACUGGGGCUAAUACCGGCUAGGAGCUCCUGCUGCAUGGGGGGGGUUGGAAAGUUUCGGCGGUUGGGGAUGGACUCGCGGCUUAUCAGCUUGUUGGUGGGGUAGUGGCUUACCAAGGCUUUGACGGGUAGCCGGCCUGAGAGGGUGACCGGCCACAUUGGGACUGAGAUACGGCCCAGACUCCUACGGGAGGCAGCAGUGGGGAAUAUUGCACAAUGGGCGGAAGCCUGAUGCAGCAACGCCGCGUGCGGGAUGACGGCCUUCGGGUUGUAAACCGCUUUCGCCUGUGACGAAGCGUGAGUGACGGUAAUGGGUAAAGAAGCACCGGCUAACUACGUG
rnacentral:rRNA from 1 species